CAGCCGCCACGGUAAUACGAAGGGUGCAAGCGUUACUCGGAAUUACUGGGCGUAAAGCGUGCGUAGGCGGCUUCUUAAGUCGGAUGUGAAAUCCCUGAGCUUAACUUAGGAAUUGCAUUCGAUACUGGGAAGCUAGAGUAUGGGAGAGGAUGGUAGAAUUCCAGGUGUAGCGGUGAAAUGCGUAGAGAUCUGGAGGAAUACCGAUGGCGAAGGCAGCCAUCUGGCCUAAUACUGACGCUGAGGUACGAAAGCAUGGGGAGCAAACAGGAUUAGAUACCCGUGUAGUCCCUGUCUCUUAUAC
rnacentral:rRNA from 1 species